UUAAUUCGACUCAGCACGACAAAACUCACCCGGCCUGGACACUGUGAGGAUUGACAGAUUGGUAGCCCUUUCUUGAUUCGGUGGGUGAUGGUGCAUGGCCGUUCUUAGUUGGUGAAGCAAUUUUUCUGGUUAACUCCGAUAUUGGAUACACUAGCGCAACCGGCUCCUUAGGUAUCCGAAUUGAGAGACAGCUGUACACUCAUAUAUGUAUAUAUAAUGUAAUUCUUCCUUAGAACUUUAAGCUACAUAUUCAACUAAUGAUAUGCAUCUCGUUCCCCAGAGAA
rfam:Schistosoma mattheei strain Denwood, Zambia genome assembly, scaffold: SMTD_scaffold0002192